GCCCUCAAUGGACAACAUUAUGCACUCACCUGCUUUCAUGUUGGUUGUGCAACUGAUGAAAACCGUUUAAACGCCGCAUUCAAUAAAGUAGAAGAUGUUCAGAAGAUGCGCAAUUCACUUCCAGCUUAUGAAAGUUAUGCAAAGAAACAGCAAUAUCAUUUUACACAAGGUAAUACAGAGAACGACAAUGAGCCCAUCUUAUUUGGAGACGAUGGAACGGACUGCACGCGUCUUGGUAGUUUUGACAAUUAUCAUUUUGACAACGAAUGUGACAUUUUGUCUCUAAAAGUUUCGGAUGGCAUUGACAUUGAUUGCAAAAUAGCGGAUGCAUUUUCU
rnacentral:lncRNA from 1 species